rnacentral:rRNA from 1 species
CCUACGGGGGGCAGCAGUGGGGGAUAUUGCACAAUGGGGGAAACCCUGAUGCAGCAACGCCGCGUGAGUGAAGAAGUAUUUCGGUAUGUAAAGCUCUAUCAGCAGGGAAGAGAAUGACGGUACCUGACUAAGAAGCCCCGGCUAACUACGUGCCAGCAGCCGCGGUAAUACGUAGGGGGCAAGCGUUAUCCGGAAUUACUGGGUGUAAAGGGAGCGUAGACGGUGAAGUAAGUCUGGAGUGAAAGGCGGGGGCCCAACCCCCGGACUGCUCUGGAAACUAUUUGACUGGAGUGCAGGAGAGGUAA